rnacentral:rRNA from 1 species
UACGUAGGGUGCAAGCGUUGUCCGGAAUUAUUGGGCGUAAAGAGCUCGUAGGCGGUUCGGCAAGUCGGAUGUGAAAUCUCCACGCUUAACGUGGAGGGGCCAUUCGAAACUGCUGUGACUCGAGUCCGGUAGGGGAGUGUGGAAUUCCCGGUGUAGCGGUGAAAUGCGCAGAUAUCGGGAGGAACACCAGUGGCGAAGGCGGCCCUCUCGGGCCGGGCCUGACGCUGAGACGCGAGGCGUGGGGAGCGAACGGG